UACGUAGGGGGCAAGCGUUAUCCGGAAUUACUGUGUGUAAAGGGUGAGUAGGCGGCAUGGUAAGCCAGAUGUGAAAGCCUUGGGCUUAACCCGAGGAUUGCAUUUGGAACUAUCAAGCUAGAGUACAGGAGAGGAAAGCGGAAUUCCUAGUGUAGCGGUGAAAUGCGUAGAUAUUAGGAAGAACACCAGUGGCGAAGGCGGCUUUCUGGACUGAAACUGACGCUGAGGCACGAAAGCGUGGGGAGCGAACAGG
rnacentral:rRNA from 1 species